rnacentral:lncRNA from 1 species
AGAGUCCAGCAAGGAGGGCUGGGAUUCACACUGAGCACGUGUGUCUGCCCAGGCUUGGGCUGUUUUCUGGGAUGGACUACCUGAAAUUCAUCACGAAUAUUGACCAUAAUUCAAGGCUAACAACAAAGUAGCUUUGGAAACAUAUGAACUCAAAAUUAUACACUAUUUAAAUCUUAAAAAAGACUCAGAUACCCUGACUCUGAAGAUUUCUGCACCUAGAUAAGUAGGAAUGAAAAGAAACAGGGCUGGACAAACAAACCAGAAAGUAAGUAUGUGCCUUGGGCAAAUUGUGAACUUGAAGGAGUUGAGGUCCAAAAGAAGUAUAGAUGUGGACCUAGGCCUAUUCCUAACUCAUGAGGAGGCCUGGGCCAAAACAAGAAGUGAUGUGGGCCUGGGCCUAUCCCCAACCCUUGAAGAGGCCUGAGCCUAAUGACAAAUUGAUGUGGGCCUGGGCUUAUCCCCAACCCUUGAAGAGGCCCGGGCCAAAAGCAAGAGUGAUGUGGGCCUGGGCCUUUCCCUGACUCUUGAAGAGGCCUGGGCCUAAUGACAAAGUGAUGUGGGCCUGGGCUUUCCCCUGACUCUUGAAGAGGCCCGGGCUACAAUCAGGAAGUGAUGUGGGCCUGGGCCUAUCCCUGACCUUUGAAGAGGCCUGAGCCAAAAUCAAGAAGUGAUGUGGGCCUGGGCCUAUCCUUGACCCUUGAAGAAGCCUGGGCCUAAUGAAGUGAUGUUGGCCUGGGCUUAUCGCCAACACUUGAAGAGGCCAGAGCCAAAAACAAGAAGUGAUGUGGGCCUGGGCCUAUUCCUGACCCUGAAAGAGGCCUGGGCCCAGUGCAAGAAGUGGUGUGGGCCUGGGCCUAUCUCUUAACCCCUGAAGAAGCCCAGGCCAAAUGUAAGAAGCAAUAUGGGCACGGGCCUAUCCGUGACCAUUGAAGAGGCCUGGGCCAAAAGCAAGAAGUGGUGUGGGCCUGGGCCUAUCCCUUUCCCUGAGGAGUUUUGGCCCAAAACUAGUAUAGAUGUUGGCCUAGGCCAAGCCCUGACCUUGAAGAUGUCCAGAUCCAAAAUAAGAAAUGUGGGCAGCCUGUCCCAACCUCUGCCACUUAAGAGGCUUGGGCUGAAUCAACAAGAAUUGGGGCCUGGCCUUUUCCCUAAUCCUCUAGAGGCCCAAGCCAAAGUGGAAGAUAUGUGGAUCUAGGGAUUGACCUCUAAGAAUCCUGGACCCUACCAAGCAGAGGAUAUUGAUUCAGGUCAUUUUUUUUCAAGUAAAGAGGCAUGGACCAAGC